AUUGCCCUAGUAACGGCGAGUGAAGCGGCAAGAGCUCAAAUUUGAAAGCUGGCCCCUUUAGAGUCCGCAUUGUAAUUUGCAGAGGAUGCUUUGGGUGCCGUCCCCGUCUAAGUGCCCUGGAACGGGCCGUCAGAGAGGGUGAGAAUCCCGUCUUGGGCGGGGUGUCCGUGCCCGUGUAAAGCUCCUUCGACGAGUCGAGUUGUUUGGGAAUGCAGCUCUAAAUGGGUGGUAAAUUUCAUCUAAAGCUAAAUACUGGCCGGAGACCGAUAGCGCACAAGUAGAGUGAUCGAAAGAUGAAAAGCACUUUGAAAAGAGAGUUAAACAGCACGUGAAAUUGUUGAAAGGGAAGCGCUUGCGACCAGACUCGCCCGCGGGGUUCAGCCGGCAUUCGUGCCGGUGUACUUCCCCGUGGGCGGGCCCGCGUCGGUUUGGGCGGCCGGUCAAAGGCCCCUGGAAUGUAGUGCCCUCCGGGGCACCUUAUAGCCAGGGGUGCAAUGCGGCCAGCCUGGACCGAGGAACGCGCUUCGGCACGGACGCUGGCAUAAUGGUCGUAAACGACCCGUCUUGAAACACGGACCAAGGAGUCUAACAUCUACGCGAGUGUUCGGGUGUCAAACCCGUGCGCGCAGUGAAAGCGAACGGAGGUGGGAGCCCCCUUGCGGGGCGCACCAUCGACCGAUCCUGAUGUCUUCGGAUGGAUUUGAGUAAGAGCGUAGCUGUGGGGACCCGAAAGAUGGUGAACUAUGCCUGAAUAGGGCGAAGCCAGAGGAAACUCUGGUGGAGGCUCGCACCGGUUCUGACGUGCAAAUCGAUCGUCAAAUUUGGGUAUAGGGGCGAAAGACUAAUCCAACCAUCUAGUACCUGGUUCCUGCCAAAUUUCCCUCAGGAUAGCAGUAACGCAAAAUCAGUUUUAUGAG
rnacentral:rRNA from 1 species